ACAAUGAAGAGUUUGAUCCUGGCUCAGGAUGAACGCUAGCGGCAGGCUUAACACAUGCAAGUCGAGGGGCAGCACGAGUAGCAAUACUUGGUGGCGACCGGCGCAAGGGUGCGUAACGCGUGAGCAACAUGCCCGUAUCAGGAGGAUAAUCCAGGGAAACUUGGUCUAAUACUCCAUAAUAAUAUUUAUCGGCAUCGAUAUAUAUUUAAAGCUAUGGUGGAUACGGAUUGGCUCGCGUGACAUUAGCUAGAUGGUAGGGUAACGGCUUACCAUGGCAAUGAUGUCUAGGGGUUCUGAGAGGAAGGUCCCCCACACUGGAACUGAGACACGGUCCAGACUCCUACGGGAGGCAGCAGUGAGGAAUAUUGGUCAAUGGAUGGAAAUCUGAUCCAGCCAUGCCGCGUGCAGGAAGAAUGUCCUAUGG
rnacentral:rRNA from 1 species